UCAUGCCAUUCCAGGCAGACCUACAAUGCUAACAGUAGGCAGAUGUACAAAUGAAAAAAAAUAUAACCACUCCUUUUCUUUGUGUGGAAGAAAAAGUUAACCAUCACAAUAUCCUCAAAGGCUUGUAUUUUCCAGCACAUACGAUGCUAUUGGAUGAUUACACAUUAGCUGCAGUCAACUGCACUAAACUGAAACAUGGAAAUCAACAACUACAAGGAUGUGUUGUGUGCUUUUGGCUUUUCUUCUGGCUGGACUACAUGCUGCAAAGAGAAUGAAAGAAACACGAUCAGUGUGCAAUAGUGGCUGACACAAGAGACGACAGCUUCAGACACACAUGUAUAUUAAGUAUUAUUUAGGUUUUUGUUGAUUAGUAAUAGAAACUGGCAAAUCUCAGUAUAGGAUUGGCUAUAAGCAUUGUCCUUGGUGUGAGAUUGAAGGUACAAUUGACCAGGGAUAAGUGACUGGUACUUUGAAACUGGGAGUAACCUGAAUAUUGCUGUGAUUCCUAGAGUAAGAGACCAUAUUCCACAAAGAUAAACGAACAUGCUAAAAAAAAUUAACAUGCUGCAAAACAGUCUUAUCUUAUUCCUAUAAUGGCUUACAAAAAAAAGUCUUUCAGAAUUAUAAGGAAAGCCUCGCAACUCAAAGAUUUGUAAGUAUAUAACAGAUGAAGCAUCACUAAGGGUCUAAUCUUGCACCACUGCAGUCAAGGAGAGUUUUCCUAUUGACAUUAAUUGGUGCUGUAUCAGAUCUGCAGAAUGUGAGAAAUGUUGCUGACUCAGCACCUGGCCAGAGGCUUAUAGCCCUGGCAGCCCCAUUAAAGUAAAUAUGUUAUGAUGACUACGUGCAGGUCUAAACUACUGCUUAAGUCGAUUUAACUGGCAUUGUUCAGGGGUGUGAAAAAUCCCCCUCCCCCAAAUGACGCAAGUUUUGUGCUGUCUACACCGGCACUAUGUCAGUGGGAUAUGCUCUCCUGUUAACAUAGCUGACACUUCUCAUCGAGGUGGAGUAAUUAUUCUGACGGGAGCGUGCUCUCCUGUCGGCAUAACAUGUCUUCACCAGAUGUGCUACCGUUAGGCAGCCGCGCCAACGAAGUGCUAUAGUGUAGACUUGCCCUAAGUGCAUGUGCUAACUGACCUUAGAUUUUGCCCUGUAUUUUCCAGAGCUACUCACAUAAGACA